rnacentral:rRNA from 1 species
GUUUACUAGAGUUUAUUUGUAGUCUAGCCUGCUCAGUGAUUUUAAUAUAAAAUAGCCGCGGUAUUUUGCCCGUGCAAAGGUAGCAUAAUCAUUAGUUUUUAAUGGAAAGCUCGUAUGAAUGGUUGGACAAAGAAAUAGCUGUCUCUUUUGUUAAAAUUGAACUUAACUUUUAAGUGAAAAGGCUUAAAUCACCCGGGGGGACGAUAAGACCCUAUAAAGCUUUAUAAAUUCAAGAAUUUUAUAUAUUUAGUAUAAAAAUAAUUUUCUCGAUGUUUAUUUGGUUGGGGCGACAAAAGUAUAAUUUUGAAUAACUGCUAGUUCAGACAUACAAAAAUCUCUGAUUUAUAAAUAAUGGAUCCCUUUAUGAGGAUUAAAAGUUCAAGUUACUUUAGCUAUCUACAGCGUUAUUUUUUCUGAGAGUACUUAUCGAAGAAAAAGUUUGCGACCUCGAUGUGGAAUUAAAAUGUCUUUAUAGUGCAGCAG